AUACGGAGGAUGCGAGCGUUAUCCGGAUUUAUUGGGUUUAAAGGGUGCGUAGGCGGACGAUUAAGUCAGCUGUGAAAUGCCCGCGCUUAACGCGGGAAGUGCAGUUGAUACUGGUUGUCUGGAGUGCCGUUGCCGAGGGGGGAAUGUGUAGUGUAGCGGUGAAAUGCAUAGAUAUUACACAGAACGCCGAUUGUGAAGACGCCUCACGAAGCGGUAACUGACGGUGAGGCACGAAGGCGUGGGGAUGGAACAGGAUUAGAUAGCGUGGUGGACCACGGAGUAAGAGGUGAUGACUAACGGGAGGCGAUGGACCGCCGGUGGCCAAGCGAAAGCGAUAAGUCAUCCGCCUGGGGAGUACGACCGCAAGGUUGAAACUUAAAGGGAUUGACGGGG
rnacentral:rRNA from 1 species